rnacentral:misc_RNA from 1 species
GUACAAACCUCUCAUCAACGCUACGUAAGCAUUCCAUCCUUGCAAGUUUAUAAUUAUUAUGCAAUUUAUUAUUUCUCAAUUGUUUUAUUUAUUACCAAUAUAAUAUUUAUUAGUAGAUUGAACAGUUUAUAUAAUUUUGAAAAUGUAGUGAAGUAUUUUUCUUUUUAUAAAUUGAUUAUCGUGUAGCAGGUAUCAUAAGAAAAUUACAAUAAUCAAUUGUUUUUUUAUUUGUAAAUUUCAAUUUACUCACUAUAACCUGCAUUAUAGAGACAGAGAGAUUAUUUGAUUAGUAUGUGGUCAUUUAUUUACCUUAUGGUAUUUGUUUCAGUUAUGGAUCAGCUGAUGAUAUUCA